rnacentral:rRNA from 1 species
UACGUAGGGUGCGAGCGUUGUCCGGAAUUAUUGGGCGUAAAGAGCUCGUAGGCGGUGUGUCACGUCGGCCGUGAAAACCUGCAGCUUAACUGUGGGCGUGCGGUCGAUACGGGCAUCACUGGAGUUCGGCAGGGGAGACUGGAAUUCCUGGUGUAGCGGUGAAAUGCGCAGAUAUCAGGAGGAACACCGGUGGCGAAGGCGGUUCUCUGGGCAUUACCUGACGCUGAGGAGC